rnacentral:tRNA from 1 species
GGAAGGGCAAGCCAAUUGGCGAUGGCAGCGGUUUCGAAAACCGUCGAGCGAUGAGCCUUGAGGGUUCGACUCCCUCUCCUUCCG